rnacentral:rRNA from 1 species
ACGAACGCCGGCGGCAGGCUUAACACAUGCAAGUCGAACGGAUCCUUCGGGAUUAGUGGCAGACGGGUGAGUAACGCGUGGGAACGUACCCUUUGCUACGGAAUAACUCAGGGAAACUUGAGCUAAUACCGUAUGUGCCCUACGGGGGAAAGAUUUAUCGGCAAAGGAUCGGCCCGCGUUGGAUUAGCUAGUUGGUGGGGUAAUGGCCUACCAAGGCGACGAUCCAUAGCUGGUCUGAGAGGAUGAUCAGCCACACUGGGACUGAGACACGGCCCAGACUCCUACGGGAGGCAGCAGUGGGGAAUAUUGGACAAUGGGCGCAAGCCUGAUCCAGCCAUGCCGCGUGAGUGAUGAAGGUCUUAGGAUUGUAAAGCUCUUUCACCGGUGAAGAUAAUGACGGUAGCCGGAGAAGAAGCCCCGGCUAACUUCGUG